UGCCGUUAGUGAUAAGCACGUCUGGCAACACAUCAUUCCCUCCAACUCCCCUCUUUCUCUCUCUAACUUUUUUCUCUCGCUCUAUACUUCAUUUGCUAUUCUCGCUUCUUUUCUUCUUCUCUUUACCCCCACCUUUAUCCCUCUCUCUCAACUUUCCUUUUAGCCUGUCCAGGUUUUCUCUGUCUUUGCUACUAAAACAAGGAGGAGGAAAUUAAGAAAAAAAAAAGAAAUUUCUAAUUUUCUCUUAAUUUUUUUUAUUAGAUUGGAUCUGGGGUUGCUUCUUUAUUGGAUUAUCAGCUUCAAAGACCAGUUCUAUUUCAGGGUAAUCCUUUCUCUAUAUUCUGCCUGGAGUUGUGGCAAUCCAAAUAAUUGAAGAGCAGAAACAGUAUGGCUGUUUCCAUGAGAGAUUUAGACUCGGCCUUUCAGGGAGCUGGACAAAAGGCUGGACUUGAAAUAUGGCGGAUUGAAAACUUUCGUCCUGUUCCUGUGCCGAAGUCCUCUCAUGGAAAAUUUUUUACCGGGGACUCCUAUGUAAUUUUACAGACAACUGCACUAAAAAGUGGUUCCUUACGUCAUGAUAUUCAUUAUUGGCUAGGUAAAGAUACCUCUCAGGAUGAAGCAGGUGCUGCUGCCAUUAAAACAGUUGAACUAGAUGCUGCUCUUGGAGGCCGUGCUGUGCAGUAUCGUGAAGUGCAGGGACAUGAAACUGAGAAGUUCUUAUCUUAUUUUAAACCAUGUAUUAUACCUCAAGAAGGUGGAGUCGCAUCUGGAUUCAAACAAGCUGAGGCCAUGGAACACCAGACACACUUGUUUGUUUGUAGAGGAAAACACGUUGUCCAUGUGAACGAGGUUCCUUUUGCUCGAUCCUCACUCAACCACGAUGAUAUUUUUAUUCUUGAUACAAAGUCAAAAAUUUUUCAAUUUAAUGGCUCCAACUCAUCCAUUCAAGAGAGAGCUAAAGCUUUAGAGGUGGUUCAGUACAUCAAAGAUACUUAUCAUGAUGGAAAAUGUGAGGUGGCUGCUGUUGAGGAUGGAAAAUUGAUGGCUGAUGCUGAAACUGGAGAGUUCUGGGGUUUCUUUGGUGGCUUUGCUCCACUUCCAAGGAAAACAACUAGUGAUGAGGAUAAGACUGAUGUUUCUUUUCCUACUAAGCUGUUUCAUGUUGAGAAGGGACAGGCAGAACCUGUUGAAGCUGAUUCUUUGACAAGGGAGUUGCUGGACACCAAUAAGUGUUACAUUCUAGAUUGUGGAAUUGAAGUCUUUGUAUGGAUGGGGAGAAAUACUUCUCUUGACGAAAGGAAAAGUGCCAGCGGAGCAGCGGAAGAGUUAGUCCGUGCUGCUGAACGUCCAAAUUCCCGCAUUGCUCGUGUAAUUGAGGGGUUUGAGACGGUGAUGUUUAGAUCAAAAUUUGAAUCGUGGCCUCAGACAACUAACGUGACUGUGUCUGAGGAUGGUAGAGGAAAAGUUGCAGCACUUCUAAGACGCCAGGGGGUUAAUGUCAAUGGUCUGUUGAAAACUGCUCCUGUGAAAGAAGAACCUCAACCAUACAUUGAUGUCACUGGGAAUUUGCAGGUUUGGAGUGUGAAUGACCAGGAAAAGAUUCUCAUUCCUGCUGCAAAUCAGUCAAAAUUUUACAGUGGAGGUUGCUAUAUUUUUCAGUAUUCAUAUCCAGGAGAAGACAGGGAAGAAUAUCUUAUAGGAACAUGGUUUGGGAAGAAGAGUGUUGAGGAGGAAAGAGCUUCUGCUAUUUCAUUGGCGAGCAAGAUGGUUGAAUCAUUAAAGUUUCUACCUGCCCAGGCUCGCAUCUUUGAAGGAAAUGAGCCUAUCCAGUUCUUUUCAAUCUUCCAGAGCUUUAUUGUAUUUAAGGGUGGUCAUAGCUCUGGUUACAAGAAAUAUAUUGCUGAAAAUGAACUCCCAGAUGAGACAUGCAAGGAGGAUGGUGUUGCGUUAUUCAGGGUUCAGGGUUCUGGACCUGAUAAUAUGCAGGCUAUACAAGUUGAGCCAGUUGCAUCAUCACUGAAUUCCUCCUACUGUUACAUAUUACAUAAUGAUUCCUCUGUUUUUACGUGGUCUGGAAACCUUACUACUUCAGAGGACCAGGAACUUAUUGAAAGGCAGCUGGAUUUGAUAAAGCCAAAUAUGCAGUCUAAGCCACAAAAGGAAGGUUCAGAAUCUGAACAAUUUUGGGAUUUGUUAGGAGGUAAAUCUGAAUAUCCCAGUCAAAAACUUGCAAGGGAAGCUGAAAGUGAUCCGCACCUAUUCUCUUGCAUAUUUUUGAAAGGAAACCUGAAGGUUUCUGAGAUAUACAACUUCACCCAGGAUGAUUUAAUGACUGAAGAUAUUUUUAUCUUGGAUACUCACUCUGAGAUCUUUGUCUGGGUGGGGCAACAGGUUGACUCCAAAAGCAAACUGCAAGCCUUGAGUAUUGGAGAGAAAUUUCUUGAGCAUGAUUUUCUGUUAAAGAAGUCAUCCGGUGAAACUCCAAUAUAUAUUGUUAUGGAAGGGAGUGAGCCACCUUUCUUCACACGCUUCUUCACAUGGGAUUCUGCAAAAUCUUCAAUGCAUGGAAACUCAUUCCAAAGGAAACUUGCAAUUGUAAAAAAUGGGGGUACUCCACUUCUAGAUAAACCCAAACGUAGAACAGCCGUAUCUUAUGGAGGCAGAUCUAGUGUACCUGACAAAUCACAGCGUUCCAGAAGCAUGUCUUUCAGUCCUGACAGAGUUCGAGUUAGGGGAAGGUCUCCAGCUUUCAAUGCCCUGGCUGCUAAUUUUGAGAACCCUAAUGCCAGAAACCUUUCAACUCCACCACCAGUUGUAAGAAAGGUAUAUCCAAAGUCUGUGAGCCCUGAUUCAGCAAAACUGGCUUCCAAAUCUGCAGCUAUAGCAGCAUUGACUGCAAGUUUUGAACAACCGCCACCAGCACGACAAGUAAUUAUGCCGCGGUCUGUCAAGGUGAGCCCUGAGACUCCAAAAUCGACACCUGAGUCAAACUCUAAGGAGAAGCCUAUAAGCAUCAGAAUAGAAUCCCUGACCAUACAGGAGGAUGUGAAAGAGGGUGAAGCUGAAGAUGAGGAAGGGCUCCCAAUUUAUCCAUAUGAAGGCCUUAAAGUUAACUCGCCAGAUCCUGUAACUGAAAUUGAUGUGACCAAGCGAGAGACUUACCUCUCAGCAGCAGAAUUUAGGGAGAAAUUUGGGAUGGCAAAGGAUGCUUUCUAUAAGUUGCCCAAAUGGAAACAGAACAAGCUCAAAAUGGCCCUUCAAUUGUUCUGAGUCUCCAUCAUGCCUCAGCUUUCCUUUCAGCUCGCUGCUACGGAGGCUGCCGGUGGAAAAGCUUGCUUGUGAAUCUUGAACGAUCUUGGUUUCUCAGAAUUUAAAAGGGACAGCAUCAGUGCUUUUUUAGCUGCUUCUGCCCCCAGGAAGCUUGUUUUCUCGAUUGUCUAAACAAAUCAGAGAUUUUUGCCAUUUCUCACUCUUUCCUUUUCUUCCUUCUCCAUAUGGUGGUUUGAAUGUCAAACUCUACAUAUUUUUUCCCCUUCCUUUUUUCGGUUUGAGUUAGUUCUUCGGUAUUCUUUUAUGGUUACAGGUUGAUUGCGAGCUUGAGUUUUUGUUUUUCAUUUUCGGAUCACAUGGGAUUGUUUUCAGUAGAGUAGGGGCUUGAGAAUGAAGAAGAUUUAGGUUUAUUGUACAACUGAGGAUGUAAGUGUGUAGAGCAGUGUAAAACCAGUCCACUCAUCAUUUGUUUCCAAUUAAAGUGUGUUUCUUUC